AGUUGAUGAUGUGGGCAUUUAUGUAGAAGGUCCCUAAAACACUCCCAAGUCUCGAAAAAUUGCUCACCAUCUUUUUGUAAAAAACUAGUGAUGGCCUUCCUAAGCU